rnacentral:ncRNA from 2 species
UGUUGUCUUCAGGGCAGGGCGAAAUUCCCGACCGGCGGUUAGAGUCCGCGAGCUACACAUGUAGUUGAACCUCAGGUACCGAUAGUUAUAGUCUAGAUGGAAGAAGACAGAC